rnacentral:rRNA from 1 species
AUCAGAAGUGCGAAUGCUGACAUAAGUAACGAUAAAGCGGGUGAAAAGCCCGCUCGCCGGAAGACCAAGGGUUCCUGUCCAACGUUAAUCGGGGCAGGGGGAGUCGACCCCUAAGGCGAGGCCGAAAGGCGUAGUCGAUGGGAAACAGGUUAAUAUUCCUGUACUUGGUGUUACUGCGAAGGGGGGACGGAGAAGGCUAUGUUAGCCGGGCGACGGUUGUCCCGGUUUAAGCAUGUAGGCUGGUUAUCCAGGCAAAUCCGGAUAACCAAGGCUGAGGUGUGAUGACGAGGCACUACGGUGCUGAAGUAACAAAUGCCCUGCUUCCAGGAAAAGCCUCUAAGCAUCAGGUAACAUCAAAUCGUACCCCAAACCGACACAGGUGGUCAGGUAGAGAAUACCAAGGCGCUUGAGAGAACUCGGGUGAAGGAACUA